GCCCGGCUGGCUCAGUUAGUAGAGCACGCAACUCUUGAUCUUGGGGUUGUGAGUUCAAGCCCCAUGCUGGGUG
rnacentral:tRNA from 1 species